GUGCAUCAUCUUGCCCAUGUGCAUCUUGAUGUUUCGAUACAUUUGUUGCACCUUGUGGAUAUACUUUAAAGGUUGUGUCGUAUGUUUCCUUACUAUCUUUAGCUUCAGAUUCCUGUGAUUCAACCGUUUUAUAUUUUUCAAGUGCAUGUCCUUCAAUAUCAACUCGUGGAAUAAUGCGAUUCAACCAUGCUGGUAAAUACCACGA
rnacentral:sRNA from 1 species